GUGUACCCUCCUGUGGCUUGUUCCAGAGUUUCCUUUGGGAUUUAUGUGCUCUAAUCCCUUGAAACGACGGUGAAUAUGUUCAACAGUUCAACGUAACACGACCAGGUGAAUCGAAUGGUUCCGUUUCAUCGAAGUCAUAAUGAAGUUAUGCAUUUUUUAUGCUAAGCGACAUUUAUUUGAAGGCUUUACUAAAUUUGAGAAAUGCUUGUCAGGACAAAAGACUGAAA